UACGUAGGAUGCAAGCGUUGUUCGGAAUUAUUGGGCGUAAAGGGCGCGUAGGCGGUGCGGUAAGUCACCUGUGAAAUCUCCUGGCUCAACUGGGAGCUUGCAGGCGAAACUGCCGUGCUGGAGUGUGGGAGAGGUGCGUGGAAUUCCCGGUGUAGCGGUGAAAUGCGUAGAUAUCGGGAAGAACAUCGGUGGCGAAAGCGCUCUACUGGACGGUAUCUGACACUGAGGGACGAAAGCUAGGGGAGCGAAUGGG
rnacentral:rRNA from 1 species